rnacentral:rRNA from 1 species
AGAGCGAACGCUGGCGGCAUGCUUAACACAUGCAAGUCGCACGGAUGGGGGCAACUCCAUCAGUGGCGGACGGGUGAGUAACGCGUAGGUAUCUAUCCUUGGGUGGGGAUAACCGUGGGAAACUACGGCUAAUACCGCAUGAUCCCUGAGGGGCAAAGGCGCAAGUCGCCUGAGGAGGAGCCUGCGUCCGAUUAGCUAGUUGGUGGGUAAAGCCUACCAAGGCUACGAUCGUUAGCUGGUCUGAGAGGAUGAUCAGCCACACUGGGACGUGAGACACGGCCCAGACUCCUACGGGAGGCAGC